UUUUGCACACAAAGAGCUGGACUUAAAUUUAUACUCUUGUAUUUAUUUAAACCCUACAUCCCAGGAGAAAAUAGCUAUGGUGCACGGACCUGAAGCCACAUUGGGCGGGAGGAAUAUAACAUCAGCUAUCUCCUGUUUACAACACAGUCCUUUCAGCAGUUCCAAGCAAGUUCCACACCCAUUUCCACUAUUCAGGUGGCCCAGAGGGCACAGAUAAGCCUCCAAGUGGCCUCAAUGACUCUCAGAAAGAGUGCUAAGGACCAGAUGACUGCAAGGAAUGUAAAUCCUUCCAUCUUCCACAAUUCAGACAGAACCGAAGAAGCUUCUUGGAUGAGAAGCAAAACGUCUUCACGGAAAAACAAAGUCCAGUUGCCUUCUGAAAAAGCACUUUUGGAACAAGGAUGGCUUAACUUCAGCAAGGAUGCAACACCUUUCAAGUAUACCUACCUGAUGCUAUGACCAGUGGCAUGCAGUGUAUUUUGCAUUGGACAGUUGAUAUCUGCCUAAAGCAAAAUGUUUGACAGAUGCCAAUAAAGAAGAGUCAAAUCCCUAAGAUUAUUUUUUAAAAUCACAAUCAAAAUUUGACUCUGAAUAUCUGCUUAGUUCUUAUUCCUCCCUGAAACUUAAGAAAGCAUGAGAUGGAUAAAUGUUUUCUGCACAGCAAUUCUCCCUCGCCACUGGAAGCAACGAAGAUUUCCAACUGAACCAAUUGCUUGUUUUAAAAUAUAGGAGGCAAAACAUAUAAUGUGAUGGAAUUGUCUAUGACUGAAGAGCCAAUGAAAUGUAAAUUAGAUUAAUCAGAUUCAAAAUGACUGGAGAGACUUGUUUUCCAGUAAUUUUUUAAUCUUGGAUUUCUAUAGAACUCCAUGAAUAUUAAUAAUGACUGAAUAAAUUUUUGUUCAUUCUAA